GGGUUGUGAGGUUAAGCGACUAAGCGUACACGGUGGAUGCCCUGGCAGUCAGAGGCGAUGAAGGACGUGCUAAUCUGCGAUAAGCGUCGGUAAGGUGAUAUGAACCGUUAUAACCGGCGAUUUCCGAAUGGGGAAACCCAGUGUGAUUCGUCACACUAUCAUUAACUGAAUCCAUAGGUUAAUGAGGCGAACCGGGGGAACUGAAACAUCUAAGUACCCCGAGGAAAAGAAAUCAACCGAGAUUCCCCCAGUAGCGGCGAGCGAACGGGGAGCAGCCCAGAGCCUGAAUCAGUGUGUGUGUUAGUGGAAGCGUCUGGAAAGGCGCGCGAUACAGGGUGACAGCCCCGUACACAAAAAUGCACAUGCUGUGAGCUCGAUGAGUAGGGCGGGACACGUGGUAUCCUGUCUGAAUAUGGGGGGACCAUCCUCCAAGGCUAAAUACUCCUGACUGACCGAUAGUGAACCAGUACCGUGAGGGAAAGGCGAAAAGAACCCCGGCGAGGGGAGUGAAAAAGAACCUGAAACCGUGUACGUACAAGCAGUGGGAGCACAGAGCAAUCUGUGUGACUGCGUACCUUUUGUAUAAUGGGUCAGCGACUUAUAUUCUGUAGCAAGGUUAACCGAAUAGGGGAGCCGAAGGGAAACCGAGUCUUAACUGGGCGUUAAGUUGCAGGGUAUAGACCCGAAACCCGGUGAUCUAGCCAUGGGCAGGUUGAAGGUUGGGUAACACUAACUGGAGGACCGAACCGACUAAUGUUGAAAAAUUAGCGGAUGACUUGUGGCUGGGGGUGAAAGGCCAAUCAAACCGGGAGAUAGCUGGUUCUCCCCGAAAGCUAUUUAGGUAGCGCCUCGUGAAUUCAUCUCCGGGGGUAGAGCACUGUUUCGGCAAGGGGGUCAUCCCGACUUACCAACCCGAUGCAAACUGCGAAUACCGGAGAAUGUUAUCACGGGAGACACACGGCGGGUGCUAACGUCCGUCGUGAAGAGGGAAACAACCCAGACCGCCAGCUAAGGUCCCAAAGUCAUGGUUAAGUGGGAAACGAUGUGGGAAGGCCCAGACAGCCAGGAUGUUGGCUUAGAAGCAGCCAUCAUUUAAAGAAAGCGUAAUAGCUCACUGGUCGAGUCGGCCUGCGCGGAAGAUGUAACGGGGCUAAACCAUGCACCGAAGCUGCGGCAGCGACGCUUAUGCGUUGUUGGGUAGGGGAGCGUUCUGUAAGCCUGCGAAGGUGUGCUGUGAGGCAUGCUGGAGGUAUCAGAAGUGCGAAUGCUGACAUAAGUAACGAUAAAGCGGGUGAAAAGCCCGCUCGCCGGAAGACCAAGGGUUCCUGUCCAACGUUAAUCGGGGCAGGGUGAGUCGACCCCUAAGGCGAGGCCGAAAGGCGUAGUCGAUGGGAAACAGGUUAAUAUUCCUGUACUUGGUGUUACUGCGAAGGGGGGACGGAGAAGGCUAUGUUGGCCGGGCGACGGUUGUCCCGGUUUAAGCGUGUAGGCUGGUUUUCCAGGCAAAUCCGGAAAAUCAAGGCUGAGGCGUGAUGACGAGGCACUACGGUGCUGAAGCAACAAAUGCCCUGCUUCCAGGAAAAGCCUCUAAGCAUCAGGUAACAUCAAAUCGUACCCCAAACCGACACAGGUGGUCAGGUAGAGAAUACCAAGGCGCUUGAGAGAACUCGGGUGAAGGAACUAGGCAAAAUGGUGCCGUAACUUCGGGAGAAGGCACGCUGAUAUGUAGGUGAAGCGACUUGCUCGUGGAGCUGAAAUCAGUCGAAGAUACCAGCUGGCUGCAACUGUUUAUUAAAAACACAGCACUGUGCAAACACGAAAGUGGACGUAUACGGUGUGACGCCUGCCCGGUGCCGGAAGGUUAAUUGAUGGGGUUAGCGCAAGCGAAGCUCUUGAUCGAAGCCCCGGUAAACGGCGGCCGUAACUAUAACGGUCCUAAGGUAGCGAAAUUCCUUGUCGGGUAAGUUCCGACCUGCACGAAUGGCGUAAUGAUGGCCAGGCUGUCUCCACCCGAGACUCAGUGAAAUUGAACUCGCUGUGAAGAUGCAGUGUACCCGCGGCAAGACGGAAAGACCCCGUGAACCUUUACUAUAGCUUGACACUGAACAUUGAGCCUUGAUGUGUAGGAUAGGUGGGAGGCUUUGAAGUGUGGACGCCAGUCUGCAUGGAGCCGACCUUGAAAUACCACCCUUUAAUGUUUGAUGUUCUAACGUUGACCCGUAAUCCGGGUUGCGGACAGUGUCUGGUGGGUAGUUUGACUGGGGCGGUCUCCUCCUAAAGAGUAACGGAGGAGCACGAAGGUUGGCUAAUCCUGGUCGGACAUCAGGAGGUUAGUGCAAUGGCAUAAGCCAGCUUGACUGCGAGCGUGACGGCGCGAGCAGGUGCGAAAGCAGGUCAUAGUGAUCCGGUGGUUCUGAAUGGAAGGGCCAUCGCUCAACGGAUAAAAGGUACUCCGGGGAUAACAGGCUGAUACCGCCCAAGAGUUCAUAUCGACGGCGGUGUUUGGCACCUCGAUGUCGGCUCAUCACAUCCUGGGGCUGAAGUAGGUCCCAAGGGUAUGGCUGUUCGCCAUUUAAAGUGGUACGCGAGCUGGGUUUAGAACGUCGUGAGACAGUUCGGUCCCUAUCUGCCGUGGGCGCUGGAGAACUGAGGGGGGCUGCUCCUAGUACGAGAGGACCGGAGUGGACGCAUCACUGGUGUUCGGGUUGUCAUGCCAAUGGCACUGCCCGGUAGCUAAAUGCGGAAGAGAUAAGUGCUGAAAGCAUCUAAGCACGAAACUUGCCCCGAGAUGAGUUCUCCCUGACUCCUUGAGAGUCCUGAAGGAACGUUGAAGACGACGACGUUGAUAGGCCGGGUGUGUAAGCGCAGCGAUGCGUUGAGCUAACCGGUACUAAUGAACCGUGAGGCUUAACCUUACAACGCCGAAGGUGUUU
rnacentral:rRNA from 1 species